AGACAACAGCUGACUGAAGACUAGAUGCAGGCACCUGUGACACUACUUGCUCCCUGGUUUCCUGUCACUUCUCAUAAUGGCCCAAACAGAAAUACAGCUGUUGUUUACGGCGAGGGAAGACAGUACUUCAGGAAAGCUCUCCAGCAUCAGCAAUGCUGCUCGCGCUAGUAGCCUCACCCUCGAGUCACAAAGUGCUCUCAGCCUGCGCUCCUGGCUGGUGCCCCCAGAUUCUAGAGUUCAAAAGUCUGAAAUGGGUCUCACUGAGCUAAAAUCAACAUUUCAGAAGAGCUGUGUUCCCGGCUGGAGACCUCAGGACAGAAUCCACUUCCUUGGCUUUUCCAGCCUCUAGAGACAGCCUGCAUUCCUUGGCUUGUGGCUUCCUUCCAUCUUCAAAGCCAACAACAUUUGGUGGAGUCUUUCUUACGAUGUCAUCUCUCUGGUUCCGACUCUACUGCCUUCCUCUUCCCCGUUUGAGAACUCAUAUGAUCACACUGAGCCCACGUGCAUAAUCCAGGAUAAUCUCCCCUUCUUGGAUUCAACUAAUUAGCAACCUUAAUUCUCACUUGUCAAGUAAAACCUAUUUGCAGGUUCUGGGGAUGAUGACAUGGACACUUCUGGGGCACCACUGUCCUGCCUACCACUAUAUCUUGGUAUAGUCAUGUCUGAAUAUGAAAACACUCAAUUUCUUAUUAUUUUAGUAUAAAUACCUUUCCAUUUACUUCUUGUUAUUUCAGUUAGGAUACUAGAGUGUUUUGAUUUUUUUUUUAAAGUCAUGCAUGUGUAGGAAUCUGUGAGUUUCAUUUCAAAAGAGUAAAAGGAGUGUUACAAGGUAGUCAUUAUUCGAUGGGAGUCCUGGGUCUGUUGGGUUGAGGCUUCCUAGGAGGGCAGUUGCUACAGCAAGCAGCUGUAGAGCUGCCCUGCUGUUGCCCAUCCCUGCCUAUGACUAGAUGGCUCAUCUGGUCUCCAGUUCCUCUUUCUCUCCUGUCGUUCUCACUACCCUCUGAUUCACUCACGUCUUGUUCCUCAGAUGCUUCCAUACCUUGAGAUCAAAGGAAAGGGCGCAAUUCAUUUCCUCCCAGACGGCCACCGUCUUGUAUGGUCCCUUCCACUCAGAAAUUCGUGGACUCCAUGUGAUGGUAAGAAUUAGAGGACUGCAGACAAAAAUCCAAAUACAACCCAACGAUGAGCAUGAAAAAGAACACUGUAGUUGAUUCUUGUAGGGAGAAUAUUCCCCUGUGUGUGUUUAAGCUCUGGGGAAGAAGCCUUAUUUUUUCCAGUGAUUAGGGUUUUACUUACUGCUUACACAUAACCAAGCAGUAGCUUCCUUUUCAUUCUCAAAACGGGGAACUGGCAGGACCGUUUCACAAGGUCAA